CCUGCGCCAAGCCGUCUGAACGUCCCGGCAUGCCCCGCGGCAGCUUCCGACCCAGCUCGUUGGAGGAGAUGGAGCUGUUGGUGAGUGACGCGUGUGAAGCUGACUUUUCCUGUUGGGAAGGCACCGAGCGCUGCGGCUUCUCCCUCUACCCUGCAGCUGUGGUCUUCCGUCCCGGGACGCGAAGACACCGAGUGGCCGUGUGCCGGGACCUCGCCCCUCGGGGGAGGGGAUGGGGAGGAGGUGGCCGGCGUGCCACCCGUCUCCCUGCGGGGCACCCGUCCGUGCAUUUCCCCCCGGAGAGACUUUUGAAAGGUUCCGAGCCUCCUGCCCUCGCGAUUUACGCCGAUGAAGCACUCGUGCACUGAGACCUGUUGUCUCGGAAGAGCACUCAGACACUGCCCUUGUCCUCAAGAGAGCUCCCAAACGAGUGGAGAAGUCAGCCCACCAGAAACAUCUUGGUAUUAGGUGGAGUUAGAGAAGGCGCUUUGCGAGAGAGAGUUAGAGACAGGGCCGAAGAGUUCAGAGCAUUCGGAGGCUUCAAGAAGGCGGUAGUGGUAAUGCCAGUACUCAUCCUGUGGGGUGCGGGUGCUUGCCUUUCGAUGGUGCUCUCCUUCAGGACAUAAAAGUUUCCUUCUUUCUACAUUUCUAGGCUCAGGUGCCCUUCCUCCCCUGGCUGGGAGGGACGGAGACUUGCAGUCCCCUUGUAUUCAGUGAAUCGAACCCUGAGAAGAGUUUAGGUAGGAAGUUUGUGGGUCAGGGUAU